rnacentral:rRNA from 1 species
UACGUAGGGUGCGAGCGUUGUCCGGAAUUAUUGGGCGUAAAGAGCUUGUAGGUGGUUUGUCGCGUCUGCUGUGAAAGUCCGGGGCUCAACUCCGGAUCUGCGGUGGGUACGGGCAGACUAGAGUGAUGUAGGGGGAGACUGGAAUUCCUGGUGUAGCGGUGAAAUGCGCAGAUAUCAGGAGGAACACCGAUGGCGAAGGCAGGUCUCUGGGCAUUAACUGACGCUGAGGAGCGAAAGCAUGGGGAGCGAACAGG